GAUGAACGCUGGCGGCGUGCCUAAUACGUGCAAGUCGAGCGAACAGACGAGGAGCUUGCUCCUCUGACGUUAGCGGCGGACGGGUGAGUAACACGUGGAUAACCUACCUAUAAGACUGGGAUAACUUCGGGAAACCGGAGCUAAUACCGGAUAAUAUAUUGAACCGCAUGGUUCAAUAGUGAAAGACGGUUUUGCUGUCACUUAUAGAUGGAUCCGCGCCGCAUUAGCUAGUUGGUAAGGUAACGGCUUACCAAGGCAACGAUGCGUAGCCGACCUGAGAGGGUGAUCGGCCACACUGGAACUGAGACACGGUCCAGACUCCUACGGGAGGCAGCAGUAGGGAAUCUUCCGCAAUGGGCGAAAGCCUGACGGAGCAACGCCGCGUGAGUGAUGAAGGUCUUCGGAUCGUAAAACUCUAUUAUUAGGGAAGAACAAAUGUGUAAGUAACUAUGCACGUCUUGACGGUACCUAAUCAGAAAGCCACGGCUAACUACGUG
rnacentral:rRNA from 1 species